GAUGAACGCUGGCGGCGUGCCUAAUACAUGCAAGUCGAGCAAACAGACGAGAGUGCUUGCACUCUCUGACGUUAGCGGCGGACGGGUGAGUAACACGUGGGUAACCUACCUAUAAGACUGGGAUAACUUCGGGAAACCGGAGCUAAUACCGGAUAAUAUUUAGCUUCGCAUGAAGCAAUAGUGAAAGACGGUUCUGCUGUCACUUAUAGAUGGACCCGCGGUGUAUUAGCUAGUUGGUGAGGUAACGGCUCACCAAGGCAACGAUACAUAGCCGACCUGAGAGGGUGAUCGGCCACACUGGGACUGAGACACGGCCCAGACUCCUACGGGAGGCAGCAGUAGGGAAUCUUCCGCAAUGGACGAAAGUCUGACGGAGCAAUGCCGCGUGAGUGAAGAAGGUUUUCGGAUCGUAAAACUCUGUUGUAAGGGAAGAACAAGUACGUUAGUAACUGAACGUACCUUGACGGUACCUUACCAGAAAGCCACGGCUAACUACGUG
rnacentral:rRNA from 1 species